CUCUCUCUCUCUCUCUCUCUCUCUCUCUCAGUAAAAUCUUAACAGGAAAAAAAAAAAAACCAGGAGUAAUAAACAGGAGUUGUUGUUCGGGUUCUCUUAAAGUUAAGUGGGCCCAAGUGUUGUAUCAACUACACCUUCCUCCCCAAACUUUUAGUAUUAAAGUUAAGAAUUGAGGUUUGAAUACUUAGUGGGUUGCUGUGCCUUCAAGACAAACCAAGAUGUGCACAAAAUAGCCAUGCCUUCUCCUAGGUCAGAGAGAUCCACGCACCUUGAAAGCCUGCUCUGUGCCUUGGAGGCUUGUAAACUCUUACAGCUACAGUGGCUAAGCUGUGACCAUGAGAGCCAUUUUACUGAUGAAGCUCGAAAACAAACACUAUCAUCUAUUUAUUGGGCGCUGGUUUUUAUAAACUCUUUUUAGGUAAGAUCUUGCUAUGUAGCCUCUUAACUUCUAUCCCUGCCUGUUUCCCCUUGGCUAGGGUUACAGGCAUGCAUCACUAUGGCUGGCAAGCCUGUAGCUUCUUAAGGCCACCAGGCCAUUAAGGAUGAUAAGUGAUGCCUCUUUCCCUCGUUUUCUGCUGCCCUUUGCUUUGCAACUUGACUGGCAUGAAAAUUGUAUUCCCUUGUCUACAAACAGACCACUUAGUCAUCUUCCAUCAAGAUACAGGCUCCAUCCCACUGGCUACACAGUUGCACUCAAACGCCCAGACCCCUGUGGGUUUGAUUUUCUGCUUUUGGAAUUCUCUGAAGUACAGUAAGUUAAGCUGCAGCUUUUAAAAGUUCUUUCGUCUCCAUGUCAGCAUUCAUGGGAAAAACCAAGCCCUUGUUUGUAGAGAACAGAGUUAUGUUUGGACGUGUCUAU
rnacentral:lncRNA from 1 species